CUUUCAUAAUUCUGGUAUCUACCCCAAGGCUAUCUGUUCUGGCACAGAGGAUUUAUCUUUUUAUCUCAGGGAAUUUUUAAGGAUUGUAAACAUGUAUGAGAGUAUCAAAAUUUCUGUGUUAGUUUUCUGAAAAACUGAACCAACAAAAUCUGAAGCAAGAAUAUUAGCUCUGAAAGCGUUUGAUUCCCACCUGGAACCUGAGGUAGAGUGUGGCCACCUGCUAAGAAUGAAGGAUUCCCAGCGUCUAAAAGAUGCUGCUACCACAAGACAGAAGGAGCUAGGACUCCUGAGUCAUUGCUUGGAGGAGAGUUAUAUUGGACUUUGCAUCACAAGAAAUAAAACUAUGUUAAGCCACUGAAAGUUGAUGUUUGUUUAUUACAGUAGCUGGUACUAAUUAUCCUUGUAUAAUAUCUCUUUGGUUCUGAGGUUGGGUUUGAUAUUGUCACAGUAAGACAAUAAAGAAAAGAAUAAAUAGGCAGGAAAAUAUUACUCAGAGAAGGACGUUGGGUUGGGGAGCGGUGAAGGGCAGGAGAAAACGGAUGACAUUGGGCCUAAAGGGCCUCCUGAGAUAGAAAACAUUUCGUAGAUGUACUGAUCUAAUUUUAGAACUGAGCAGGUCACCUCUAAACGGGUCUCCAUUUGUGUAAAAGUAAACGGACAUAUUCUGACAACUACGUUUUAAAGAAUAUAUAUAUUAUGUGACUGUAAAUGAAGCACAAUAAAUUAAGUUUACUUGAAAACAUUAAGUAGGAAAAAUCAGAGAUCAAAUAUCAAGUUCUUAAAUAAAAAAAAAAAAAUGGUUUUCAAAAUGAGGUAGGCUACAUGUACUUCAAAAUGCCAGGGGGAGAGAUAGAGAGGCCGAAAGCCCUGAGCUUGCUGAGUGGAGGGUGCUGUGAGGAAGGGCAUGAGUGGGGAGAAUGUUUGGACUGUCUGCAAUUAAAUGUGAAGCCUGCUGGGCCUGGAAGUCAGAGAAAGUGGCAAGAAAGGACGAGUUUUCCCUUUGCUUUUUAAUACUUAAAUACAGUGGUUUAAAAGUCAGUUUCUAUGCAACAAAAGAAAUAUUUAGUGAUCAAAUCUGGAACAGCUAUUUGAAAUUUCCAAACAUCUGAAGGGUAAAAAUUUAAAGCUAACAUUUCCUUUGAAAUAUAGCAUAGUUUGGGGGCUUUUUCUGAAACAUGGAAUAAGUCCAAAAGUCUGAAAUAACACCCCUAAUAUUCAUUCUUCAGUGAAUAAUUCACUUUGACCAUCAAAUAUAUGUCAUUAUCUUUAAAAAUAUGCUAACAGUGUGGUACCCAUUGAUUGGGAUAAAAGCACUCCUUUGUUCCUUCUAUAAACUGCCAGUGACAGACCUUUCCUGGGACUUGGGGCUUCCUUUCUUCCCCCUUCUUUUCCAAGCCCCCAAAUUAGAGAUUUCCUUAGGCUGGGAGGGAAGUCUAAGAGUUUAUGAUUAGAGAUCCCACAGGCAUUAGCACCCACAGCUCCAGUGGUCCAGAGGUUCACAGUGGCCACUGUGAGUCAAUCAUUGCUGUCACCUAAUAUCAUCUGUGAGGCAGAUUAUAAAAGCGCAUCAAAGAGCAUCAGACACGUCCGUCAGAAACAGAAUGCCUGAGGUUCUCAGACUGAGAAUCUCAUAGCCAGGGGUAGGGGAAAGAUAAUCAGGCAGAGCACAAAGGAUUUUUAGGGCAGUGAAAAUACUCUGUAUGGUUUUAUAAUGAUGGAUUAUGUCAUUAUAGAUUUGUCCAAACCCAUAGAAUUUACAACACCGAGAGUGAACCCUAAGGUACCUUUGAAUGUUGGGUUAUUAUGAGGUGUCAAUGUAGGUUCAUCAAUUGUAAAAAAUGUACCACUCUGGUGAGUGAUGGUGAUAAUAGUGAUGUUAAUAAUGUUGAUAAUAAUAAUAAGGCUACGUGUGUGUGGAGGCAGAGGGUAUGUGGGAAAUCUCUACCUUGCUCUCAGUUUUGCUGUAAACCUAAUAUUGCUCUAAAAAAUAUGUUGUAAAAAAAUUCUCAACAGCUAUAAUUGUUUCACUAGAAGUUGACUGAACAACAACAACAAAAAAGGUGUCUUAAACACCACCUGUGCUAAAUGCAGAGCUUAAAUAAUUUCCACUGAGGUAUUUUUUUCUGAUUUCAAAGAUUACACAUGUUCUUUGUAGAAAACUUGAAAAAUACAGAAAAGCCAAAGAAAAAAUUGAGAACCUCUGAACACUUAUUAAUGAUUUGUUAUGUACAUGUAUGUGUGUGAUGCAUAUUUGUGUGAAGAUAAGUGUGUAUAAAUACAUGUUUAUAUAAUAAAUAUAAUUUUAAUGGAUAUGCUAUA